rnacentral:rRNA from 1 species
AUACGGAGGGUGCAAGCGUUGUUCGGAAUUAUUGGGCGUAAAGAGCAUGUAGGCGGACUGUUAAGUCUGGUGUGAAAGCCCGGGGCUCAACCCCGGAAGUGCAUUGGAUACUGGCAGUCUUGAGUAUGGGAGAGGAAAGUGGAAUUCCGAGUGUAGGAGUGAAAUCCGUAGAUAUUCGGAGGAACACCAGUGGCGAAGGCGGCUUUCUGGACCAAUACUGACGCUGAGAUGCGAAAGCGUGGGGAGCGAACAGGAUUAGAAACCCUAGUAGUCC